GGGCCUGUGGCGGAACUGGCAGACGCAGCGGACUUAAAAUCCGCCGUCCUCACGGACAUUGAGGGUUCGAGUCCCUCCGGGCCCA
rnacentral:tRNA from 1 species